AAUAUUGGUCAAUGGAGGCAACUCUGAACCAGCAAUGCCGCGUGCAGGAUGAAGGCCUUCGGGUUGUAAACUGCUUUUGUACGGAACGAAAAGCUUUGGGUUAAUACCCUGGAGUCAUGACGGUACCGUAAGAAUAAGCACCGGCUAACUACGUGCCAGCAGCCGCGGUAAUACGUAGGGUGCAAGCGUUAAUCGGAAUUACUGGGCGUAAAGCAUGCGCAGGCGGUUUUGGAAAGCAGGGGUGAAAUCCCCGGGCUCAACCUGGGAACUGCCUUUGUGGCUGCAAGGCUAGAGUACGGCAGAGGGGGGUGGAAUUCCGCGUGUAGCAGUGAAAUGCGUAGAUAUGCGGAGGAACACCGAUGGCGAAGGCAACCCCCUGGGCCUGUACUGACGCUCAUGCACGAAAGCGUGGGGAGCAAACAG
rnacentral:rRNA from 1 species